rnacentral:rRNA from 1 species
UACGUAGGGUGCGAGCGUUGUCCGGAAUUACUGGGCGUAAAGAGCUCGUAGGUGGUUUGUCGCGUUGUCCGUGAAAACUCACAACUCAAUUGUGGGCGUGCGGGCGAUACGGGCAGACUGGAGUACUGCAGGGGAGACUGGAAUUCCUGGUGUAGCGGUGAAAAUGCGCAGAUAUCAGGAGGAACACCGAUGGCGAAGGCAGGUCUCUGGGCUGUAACUACGUGAGGAGCGAAAGCAUGGG